rnacentral:rRNA from 1 species
ACUCCUGCGGGAGGCAGCAGUGAGGAAUAUUGGACAAUGGGUGGAAGCCUGAUCCAGCCAUCCCGCGUGCAGGAAGACGGCCCUAUGGGUUGUAAACUGCUUUUAUCUGGGGAUAAACCUACUUACGUGUAAGUAGCUGAAGGUACCAGAAGAAUAAGCACCGGCUAACUCCGUGCCAGCAGCCGCGGUAAUACGGAGGGUGCAAGCGUUAUCCGGAUUUAUUGGGUUUAAAGGGUCCGUAGGCGGACUGAUAAGUCAGUGGUGAAAUCCGACAGCUUAACUGUCGAACUGCCAUUGAUACUGUUAGUCUUGAGUAAGGUUGAAGUGGCUGGAAUAAGUAGUGUAGCGGUGAAAUGCAUAGAUAUUACUUAGAACACCAAUUGCGAAGGCAGGUCACUAAGUCUUAACUGACGCUGAUGGACGAAAGCGUGGGGAGCGAACAGGAUUAGAAACCCUUGUAGUCCCAUGAU